AGUAAUAUGUCUGAUAAAAGUAAUAAAUUGUAAAUUUAUAUAUAGAGUAAUUUCUUAUUACUA
rnacentral:tRNA from 1 species